GCCACGGUGGUCUAGCGGUUAGAACAACGGCCUUGUAAUCCUGGGGUCUCGGGUUCGAUUCCCGGCGGUGCCC
rfam:Zootermopsis nevadensis contig4261, whole genome shotgun sequence.